CUUGGGCGGGGGUCGCUCAGCCUGGAUUGUGAGAGGGCGCAGGCCAGGCCGAGGGAUCUCACCGGUGCAGG
rnacentral:pre_miRNA from 1 species